rnacentral:rRNA from 1 species
UAAACUAGGAUUAGAUACCCUAUUAUGUUGAACGUUAAAUUUUGCCUGGGUAGUAUUAGUUAUGGUCUUUAAACCCAAAGAAUUUGGCGGUGUUUUAGUCUAUUUAGAGGAACUUGCCCUAUAAUCGAUAGUCCUCGAUAUAUCUUUCUUUAUUUUGUUUUCAGUAAGUAUACCGCCGUUAUAAGUUUAUUUUUUUAGAAUUAUAAUUUACUUAAAAAAUUAAUUUUUUUUAUUUCAGGUCAAGGUGCUGCUUAUAAUUAAGUUGAGGUGAGUUACAAUAUUAUUUUAUUAUACGGAUUUUAUUUUGAAAUAUUUAAGUGAAGGUGGAUUUAAUAGUAAUUUUGAUUAUUUAAUCAUUUUGAUUUUAGCUCUAAAAUAAGUACACAUCG